AAGUACAAAAACUAACUUCGAAAAAAAAGGUUCUUAAUUUCUAUAAUUGAAUAACAGCCCCCAGAAACAUACCCAAUUCAUUAGAAUGCCUUUUAAUCCUCUACCUAACGACCCCAACCCAAGUAUCGAUCAGAGAAGUGUUCCGGGGAAGGACAACAUCCAAACAGACACCAACGACACAUCAAUCCCACUCCUGCACAUGUUAAUGUUAGAUCAAUGCCUCCGCCUUCAGAGCCCACCGGCUCUGCACUAGUACCGAGGAUCAAGAGCAGCCCAUCACGUGAAAGUCAGAUAUUGUCGCAAGAGCAGAAGCAGAACCAGCAAAAGCGUGCUGAUCUUAUUAUAAAUUCUCAGGCAGAAAACAAGAAGAUGGAUGAUAUGCCGAAAGCACAACAGAAAGACGAACCACAACAUGAAUAUCCCGACAGGGACGAUGGCAAAACCCCAUCUAUUAAUUAUACUCCUGAAACUGCUGCCCUGGGCCUGGCGUGAGCAUUCAAGUUACCAUAUCGGUGGUACCAGAUCAACGUAAAAGUUUGAACGUUAAUAUUCCUACAACAUUUUCGGUGAAUGGCAAUUGGAACGAAAACGGGAUACCCAACAUCACUCCACAAAUAGUUCCGACGCCUCAAGAUGCGUUGCCAAAAGCUCUGCUCCAUUUUGUAAAUAAAAAUAUGAAUAAGCUAGUAGUGGUGGAUCAUGUUAUGCAGCUAUUGAAGGAGACAAGUUGUAUAAGGUGUGAUAUUCGUUGAACAGAUAAUGUAAAAAUAGAAGUGCAGAUUCAGAGGCUUGUAAAACGUCCUUGAUUCAGUUUGCUCGAUCUUCUUAUAUCAUGAUAGUUUGAUCAGUGAUAUUGUUUUUUGGUUAUGAAGUUUAGGGGUGCUUCAUGUUUUUUAUAUUCAUCUACAUAUACAGCUCAAUGCUUCAGUGUGAAAAACUCUGAUAG